AGCAGCCGCGGUAAUUCCAGCUCCAAUAGCGUAUAUUAAAGUUGUUGCAGUUAAAAAGCUCGUAGUUGAAUUUCGGGGUUAGCAGGUCGGUCGUGCCAUCGGUAUGAACUGGUCUCGCUGAUCCCUCCCUCUUGACGAACUGUGAUGCCAUUAAUUUGGUGUCGUAGGGAAUCAGGACUGUUACUUUAGAAAAAUUAGAGUGUUUAAAGCAGGCUCACGCUUGAAUACAUUAGCAUGGAAUAAUGAAAUAGGACGUUUGAUCCUAUUUUGUUGGCUUCUAGGAUUGACGUAAUGAUUAAUAGGGAUAGUUGGGGGCAUUAGUAUUCAAUUGUCAGAGGUGAAAUUCUUGGAUUUAUUGAAGACUAACUACUGCGAAAGCAUUUGCCAAGGAUGUUUUCAUUAAUCAAGAACGAAAGUUAGGGGAUCGAAGACGAUCAGAUACCGUCGUAGUCUUAACCAUAAACUAUGCCGACUAGGGAUCGGAUGAUGUUAAUUUUUUAAUGACUCAUUCGGACCG
rnacentral:misc_RNA from 1 species